CUGGCUCAGGAUGAACGCUAGCGGCAGGCUUAACACAUGCAAGUCGAGGGGCAGCGGGGAGGAAGCUUGCUUUCUCCGCCGGCGACCGGCGCACGGGUGAGUAACACGUAUGCAACCUGCCCCUGUCAGGGGGACAACCCGCCGAAAGGCGGGCUAAACCCGCGUACAUGCCACCGGGGCAUCCCGGAGGCAGGAAAGGCUUCGGCCGGACAGGGAUGGGCAUGCGGCGCAUUAGGCAGUAGGCGGGGUAACGGCCCACCUAACCGACGAUGCGUAGGGGUUCUGAGAGGAAGGUCCCCCACACUGGUACUGAGACACGGACCAGACUCCUACGGGAGGCAGCAGUGAGGAAUAUUGGUCAAUGGUCGGGAGACUGAACCAGCCAAGCCGCGUGAGGGAUGAAGGUACAGAGUAUCGUAAACCUCUUUUGUCAGGGAACAAAGGCGGGGACGUGUCCCCGGAUGAGUGUACCUGAAGAAAAAGCAUCGGCUAACUCCGUGCCAGCAGCCGCGGUAAUACGGAGGAUGCGAGCGUUAUCCGGAUUUAUUGGGUUUAAAGGGUGCGCAGGCGGUCUGUUAAGUCAGCGGUCAAAGCCCGGGGCUCAACCCCGGCCCGCCGUUGAAACUGGCAGUCUCGAGUUGGAGAGAAGUAUGCGGAAUGCGCGGUGUAGCGGUGAAAUGCAUAGAUAUCGCGCAGAACUCCGAUUGCGAAGGCAGCAUGCCGGCUCCACACUGACGCUGAGGCACGAAAGCGUGGGUAUCGAACAGGAUUAGAUACCCUGGUAGUCCACGCAGUAAACGAUGAAUGCUGGCUGUCCGGGGGGGAUUGACCCCUGGGUGGCGAAGCGAAAGCGAUAAGCAUUCCACCUGGGGAGUACGCCGGCAACGGUGAAACUCAAAGGAAUUGACGGGGGCCCGCACAAGCGGAGGAACAUGUGGUUUAAUUCGAUGAUACGCGAGGAACCUUACCCGGGCUCAAACGGGGAGUGACUCGGGCAGAGACGCCUGUUUCCCACGGGACACUCCCCGAGGUGCUGCAUGGUUGUCGUCAGCUCGUGCCGUGAGGUGUCGGCUUAAGUGCCAUAACGAGCGCAACCCCCGCGUGCAGUUGCUAACAGAUAACGCUGAGGACUCUGCACGGACUGCCGGCGCAAGCCGCGAGGAAGGCGGGGAUGACGUCAAAUCAGCACGGCCCUUACGUCCGGGGCGACACACGUGUUACAAUGGGUGGUACAGCGGGAAGCCAGGCGGCGACGCCGAGCGGAACCCGAAAUCCACUCUCAGUUCGGAUCGGAGUCUGCAACCCGACUCCGUGAAGCUGGAUUCGCUAGUAAUCGCGCAUCAGCCAUGGCGCGGUGAAUACGUUCCCGGGCCUUGUACACACCGCCCGUCAAGCCAUGGGAGCCGAGGGCGCUUGAAGUGCGUCGCCGCGAGGCGCGCCCUAGAGCGAAAUCGGUGACUGGGGCUAAGUCGUAACAAGGUA
rnacentral:rRNA from 1 species